rnacentral:tRNA from 1 species
GGAUUGUGGCUUAUUGGUAGAGCGCUGGCCUAGUAUGUGUGAGGCAUUGGGUUCAAUCCUCAGCACCA